UACGUAGGGGGCGAGCGUUAUCCGGAGUUACUGGGCGUAAAGGGCGCGUAGGCGGCUUGCUCAGCCUGCUGUGGAAGCCCUGGGCUUACCCUGGGGAGGCCAGUGGGGACUGGUGAGCUAGAGGGAGGCAGAGGGUCGUGGAACUGGCGGUGGAGCGGUGAAAUGCGUAGAGAUCGCCAGGAACACCGGUGGUGAAGACGGCGACCUGGGCCUUUUCCUGACGCUGAGGCGCGACAGCGAGGGGAGCGAACGGG
rnacentral:rRNA from 1 species